AUUCUGGGCGUAAAGCGCGGUUUGUUAAGCGAGAUGUGAAAGCCCCGGGCUCAACCUGGGAACUGCAUUUCGAACUGGCAAACUAGAGUAUGAUAGAGGGUGGUAGAAUUUCAGGUGUAGCGGUGAAAUGCGUAGAGAUCUGAAGGAAUACCGAUGGCGAAGGCAGCCACCUGGGUCAAUACUGACGCUCAUGUACGAAAGCGUGGGGAGCAAACGGGAUUAGAUACCCCGGUAGUCCACGCCGUAAACGAUGUCUACUAGGAGCUGGGGUCUUCGGACAACUUUUCCAAAGCUAACGCAUUAAGUAGACCGCCUGGGGAGUACGGCCGCAAGGUUAAAACUCAAAUGAAUUGACGGGGGCCCGCACAAGCGGUGGAGCAUGUGGUUUAAUUCGAUGCAACGCGAAGAACCUUACCUACACUUGACAUACAGAGAACUUACUAGAGAUAGUUUGGUGCCUUCGGGAACUCUGAUACAGGUGCUGCAUGGCUGUCGUCAGCUCGUGUUGUGAGAUGUUGGGUUAAGUCCCGCAACGAGCGCAACCCUAUCCUUAGUUGCCAGCGAUU
rnacentral:rRNA from 1 species